AGGAACUUGGAGAGAGGAGUGGCUAUUAGCAGGAGGUUGGAGAGAGGCCUGGCUAUAUGUGGCAAAGUGGGGUCUGACAGAACCAGCCCGCAGAUAUGACAGAAGCCUAUAACAUCAGCUGCAUGAAAGGCUGAGAGGAGAGGAUCAUGAGUUCAAGAUCAGCCCAGACAACUUAAACACCACAGAGAAAAGUAAGGCUUCAUGUACUUUCAUCAAAUGAUGAAGGUAGGAAGGGCUUCAGAGCCCAGCAGAACCCAUCCAGGUUAAGGCAGGCCAUGGUACUGGGCAGCAAAUGUUGGCAGUCUGCCUUGCCCUUUGAGGAGCAUGUGGUCCUGGCACUCAGGGUGCUCUAUGGAUACAAUAGCACAGGACUUCAAAGACAUGGCACCUGUUAUGGACCAGUCACCACAGCCAGCUCCGAUCCUCCAACCAAGAAGUACCAGUGCUGAGGAUAAUGGCAGGAUGGGACACUGGACAGCAAGGCUUCCACAGAAGAAUGAUGGCAAACCUUUGGAAAGAACUUGGGCCUUUAACUCGUUCCUCCAUUUCUCCAACAAACAUCUAUAAUAUCUACUAACAUUUAAACACAGAUCAGGAGCUGACACAGGCUACCUAGUGGGAAAGAAAAUUCUGCUGCUGUCCCAGAAAAACUCACAAUCCAGAAGAGGACCUACAAUGUUUGUAAGGGAGCACUCACAUAUGCACAAGUGGGUGUGUGAGCAGAGAAGGUGAGGGCACUCUCCCUGGGUCAUGGAUGAGCACUGGAAACUUCCAGACAGACCAUAGGUACCAGGCAGAGGGACAGACAACUAGGGAAGGAGGUAUGACAAGAACCAGCCCAUUACCUCACCUGGCUGAGCAGACAGGUACCCAGGAGAGAAGAGCUUGAUUCAGACUCAAGGGACUAUAAGUGCAAAACAUGGACACUGAAAAAUAUCAAGAAAAAUGGACACUGAUGGAUAUCAUCAAGAGAGGACAAGAUCAUCCCAACCAAGGAAAUGAACAAGGUAAAGUUUUUGAAAUGAGAGGACAGAGAUACUAAUCCAAGGUGAGAGGUAAUGACAGACACUCAGCAGGAGGAAGAACAUCCUCACAUAGGGCCUCCCUCAGUGCUUGAAGUGGAGCCACGUCUUGAUAAUGUUGUACAAUGCCUGACCAGGGGACAGAGUAUUGGACACAUCACUGUGACCCAUUAGCAGGUAGUUGGGGGUCAGGUAUCCCUUGACCACAGCACACUGGAUCAAGUCCUGGGCUGCCUCCAGUGCAGCUGCAUUGGGUGGGGAACCUGCAAAACACAGCCAAACUGAUUGUAAGAUCCCAGGGUGCCCAGAGCAGGACAGAACAUGUUCCAAAACCCACCCAGCCUACCACUAAAAUAGCAUAUUUGAUUUUUGGCAGCCAUUCUAUAAACAGACAGAAGAGCAGAUCAAGAUUUUACAUGUCUCAGUCCCAAAGUCUUCCUGACUCUAAAUUCCUGGAAAUAUAAAUACAGUUCUGAAUAACUCUAAAUGUUUUCCUACAGUGAAAGUUUGUCCUGAUAUGUCUCUAUUGGGAAUAUUUUAGUAUCCUAAGGACCAUUUGACAAUGCCUAGAGAUAUACUUGAUUUGACAAAAGUGGGAGAAGAAAGGACACUUUUAUUGUUGAGUUUUGAGAAGGCAAUGGCCGUACCAACUAAACUUCAAAGUAUAGAUCUGUGACAAUGAGUUAUCUCACCCAGAAUGUCAGCAGCAGCAAGCUCUACAGGCCUUCCCAACAGAACCAAUGUUCAGCCUCUCCUCACCUGCCCUUACCCUCCAUAUAGGGCUCAUCUUCAAACCAACCAGAAAUGUGUAGCAAUAACAGUACCUCACCUUUCCAGAAACUCAAAACGAAAACACUGUAGUCAGAAACUGAGUAAAUGAAUACUUUCAUGCAAUCAAGGCAAAUGCCUAAAUCCCUGCUUUGCUGAAUAAGGCUAAGUGAUCUAGAAUUGUUACCAUGAAAACCGAAAUAGGAUAGGUUACAAAGGGGAACUGGAAUUACUCUCAACAUUUUCCUUUGCUUCACCCAUUCAUUGUAGCAGAAAGAGGGAGGAUGGAGGAGGAGGAAGAGAGCAAGGGAGAGAGAGAAAGAGGGGGAGAGGGAGAGAGGGAGAAGGAUAAAAAGAGGGAGGAAAGACAGUGAGAGAGAGACAGACAGACAGACAGACAGAGACAGAGAGAGAAAGAGAAGGGGGAGGGAGACUAAGAUUUGUUUGUGUGUGAAAAAAGUAACUAUAGAAUACCUACUCUCUGGGAUCUGAAGGCCACUUUCAACCACGUUCAUCUUAGAUAAAUGUAAAUAAAAGGCUUCGGUAUAUGAUACUUUAAACAAUGUCUGAGCCUGAUGUGUAUUCAGUCCAAAUCAGACGCUCUCCUCAAACAUCACCCAAGGAUCACAACUACCCAAAGCUUC